rnacentral:rRNA from 1 species
UAAUACUAGGGGUGCAAGCGUUGUCCGGAUUCAUUGGGCGUAAAGGGUGCGUAGGCGUCCAGGAAAGUUAUUUGUUAAAUCCUCCGGCUUAACCGGAGAAAUGCAAGUAAAACUACUUGGAUAGAGUUUAAGAGAGGAAAAUGGAAUUCCUGGUGUAGCGGUGACAUGCGUAGAUAUCAGGAGGAACACCUAUGGCGAAGGCAGUUUUCUGGCUUAAAACUGACGCUGAGGCACGAAAGCGUGGGGAGCAAACAGGAUUAGAUACCCUGGUAGUCCACGCCGUAAACGGUGAGCACUUGGUGCCGGAGGAUUCGACCCCCUCGGUGCCGUAGCUAACGCGUUAAGUGCUCCGCCUGGGGACUACGACCGCAAGGUUG